rnacentral:rRNA from 1 species
CCUGACUGCUAUCGGAUUGAUACUAAGCCAUGCGAGUCAUUGUAGCAAUACAAGGCAUACGGCUCAGUAACGCGUAGUCAACCUAACCUAUGGACGGGAAUAACCUCGGGAAACUGAGAAUAAUGCCCGAUAGAACACUAUACCUGGAAUGGUUUGUGUUCCAAAUGAUUUAUCGCCAUAGGAUGGGACUGCGGCCUAUYRGUUUGUUGGUGAGGUAAUGGCCCACCAAGACUAUUACAGGUACGGGCUCUGAGAGGAGUAGCCCGGAGAUGGGUACUGAGACACGGACCCAGGCCCUAUGGGGCGCAGCAGGCGAGAAAACUUUGCAAUGUGCGAAAGCACGACAAGGUUAAUCCGAGUGAUUUGUGCUAAACGAAUCUUUUGUUAGUCCUAGAAACACUAACGAAUAAGGGGUGGGCAAGUUCUGGUGUCAGCCGCCGCGGUAAAACCAGCACCUCAAGUGGUCAGGAUGAUUAUUGGGCCUAAAGCAUCCGUAGCCGGCUCUGUAAGUUUUCGGUUAAAUCUGUACGCUUAACGUACAGGCUGCCGGGAAUACUGCAGAGCUAGGGAGUGGGAGAGGUAGACGGUACUCGGUAGGAAGUGGUAAAAUGCUUUGAUCUAUCGAUGACCACCUGUGGCGAAGGCGGUCUACCAGAACACGUCCGACGGUGAGGGAUGAAAGCUGGGGGAGCAAACCGGAUUAGAUACCCGGGUAGUCCCAGCUGUAAACUAUGCAAACUCAGUGAUGCAUUGGCUUGUGGCCAAUGCAGUGCUGCAGGGAAGCCGUUAAGUUUGCCGCCUGGGAAGUACGUACGCAAGUAUGAAGCUUAAAGGAAUUGGCGGGGGAGCACCACAAGGGGUGAAGCCUGCGGUUC